AAAAGCCCCCUGCAAUAGGCCUUUUAUUUUGCAGCGUACAUGGUAAAAGCCCCCUGCAAUAACAUAUUUGUAAAUUUUUUUCGCUGCAACUUUAACUCAGACCAAACAUUUCUAUCUCAAACCUCAUAGCAGCGAAUAUCCCACGUACUCUCAGUACUCCCUUCUUCUUCUCUCGGCUUACCCUGCUUCUCGCCGGUGGUUCUCACCAGUGGUCGUCGCCGCUGGGUCUCGCCCGUCGCCGGUGGUACUCCAGCAAGAGUCUAUUUAAUUUCCUCGCCUCUCACUGGUGGUUCCCUACUCGAAAAAACAACCGGCGAAGUCAUUCCCUGCUCGGAAAACUAAGCUAUAUCCAGACUCUAUCUCCUCCUAUAGUUCGUUUGUCUUUGCUAUCUCAAUUCGUAAGAAACGUCGUCGAUUGCACAGGUAUAUUUCUAAUCUAUUCGUCAAUUAACAUGUCUGUGGUGUUGGGGUUUGUGUAUGGUUCAAAUCGCCAGAUCUGGAGUUGAUUUAGCAAUUUUUUGUAUGUUGGUGUAUACCUAUUAAUUUUGGUCCAUUUCGUUAAUUGUUUGGGGGAAAUGAUUGGUUUUUUUUAGGGUUUGUUCGAAUGAUUGAGUUCUUUUAGGGUCUGUUCGAAUGAUUGGGUUUUUUUUGGGUUUGUUAAGUAUAAGAUACUUCCAAAUGAUGUUUUUGGGGUUUUAAUCAUAGAUGCACGAUCGUGAUUUGUGGAAAUGUGUUCUGUGUAAUAUUUGUUCUGUCCAGUUCGUUUGAGAGUUGUUGAUUUAAUCUAAUUUUUGUAGGACGAUUUGAUCUAGUUUUUGUUUUCUUUUACUGAAUUUCGUGACAGAUUGGUACAAUUGUGUGAAAUUGGCAGAAGAUUUGUGGGUUGAGACAGCAAUGGGUGGAUCCCUUAUUUAUGAGGAUAGCAAAUAGUGUUCUUGUAAUACGCAUACAAGAACACUAGCCCAGGAAGAUACUUGAAGAUGAAUAUUUUCUUUCGCGACUGCAAAUCCGGGAGAAGAGGUUAGCUAAAGGUGGAAUUCUCUUAGCUGCUACACUUAAUUUCGUAGUGGAGAAUCACAAACAGAAGACAAACAUCUCUAGUUUAGAAAGAGUAUGAUAACUUCCAUCAGGAAAAUAGGUAAAAUAGUUAAAUAUUUAUAUAUUCGGGUGAAUUUGCAUGCUUAGCUUCAUUGUACCUUUAUUUUGGGGAUUAAGGUUCUGUUUUUUAAUUUUUGGCAAAUUCUUCAUAUUACACUCUUAGUACUGGCUUUUUCAAGAGAUAAA